GGGGUGGGGGUGGAGGAGCGUGCAGGCCGAGGACUGGGGUGCAGGUCCGGGAGGGGCGCGCAGGCUAGGUCCCGGAUGCAGGCCGGAAAAGGGACGCAGGCCGGGGAGGGGCUCGCAGGCAGGGGAGGGCGCGCAGGCUGGGGACCCGGGUGCCGGCCUGGAAAGGGGCUCCGGCCAGGGACUGAGGUGCCAGCCUGGGAGGGGCGCGCAGGCCGCACGGGCGGAAUCAUGAAGAUCAUGGUGUUCGCGCUCAUGGACAUCGGGCGGGGCCGGGCCGGGCCGGAGCGCCGCCCCCCGGCCCCGGCGCUCUCCCGGCCCCGCAGAGGUCAGAGCCUCCUGGACCCGACGCAGUCGGCCGUGGCAACCCCCCGCCGGCCAAGGGAGGAGGCGCGGGCGGGGGCCCGGGCAGGGAUGCGGGGGCAGCUCUAGGGUCGCUUGGCCGGGCCCCGGCCGGCCCGCCGCGCUGCGCUCCGCCCUUCGGUCCUCCCCGCACUCAGUGCGCUCGCUCGCCCGCCCGCUCGGUCUGGGCCUCCUCCCUCUUCCCUCCUCCCUCCCCGCUCCCCGCCGCUUUCCUCCGCCUCCCGGGAGGGAUCGCGCCGCCCGCGGGCCGCCCCGCGCCGGGAGGGACUUCCACUCGCCGCCGGGAUCCUCCCCGGGACCGCAGCUCCCCGUCUCGCCUCUACCCGGCCAGACCCUGCGCCUGCUCAACAACGACCGGAGAGGGGCUGCUGGCAGUCAGACGGCCCAGACCGGUCCAGUGAGGAAGCGGAGGCGCCUACAAGGUCACUGAGGAGCAGCCAGGGAGGUCACUCCAAACGACCGGCCACAGAGGCAAACACUCCUGCAGCCCAACAUGAGGGCAGGCGACCCCCCCCCCCCAGCCUGGUGGGGAGGUUUCCCUUGGGAACAUCUACUGCAGGUGAGUGAGGGAAGGGGGUAAGAUGAGCUC